UGUUAAAACAAACUCCCAAAGCUCUGAAUUUCCAUAAAAUAGAAACAGAACUAAAAUGUUAAAUUUUCGAUUGGUUACUUACCUUAAUAGGGGAGCCAAAUAAGCUAAUCUUUAUCCAUAUCUGAGAUGGCCUGGGUGACCUUACAUGGAAUGAACCAGCCACUGUCAGUGAUUGCAACUUGGACCAGCAGUUGGGCCAUCUAGUCUCCACAAGUCACCUAAUGGUGUAUACUUUUUAUACCACUGUCCCUCUUCCCUACCCAGUUCUACUUGUGGAAGGUGUGGAGGUAGAGUGAUUGUUGGUGAGGUACUGAAGAAUAAAAGGAAGACACUUUCCGCUCUGAACUCAAAAAAACUUGUGCUGAACAUUCAGGAGACGAAGGUGGCAUGCUGCCUUUCCAAUCCAAUUGGCCAUGGUACGAGCUAAUGACCUUCCUGACUGAUGUAAUGACGCCACGUAAGACGAAGACUAAUAUUCAUCACAGUAAAAGAACAGCAUCGCAACACGACGACGCACACAAUGACGUACCAUUUACCAUUUACACCAGCUCUUACAGAGAGAGAGUGUGUUUCACCUGAUGAAACCAACCAAGCCAGCUCUUCAAGACCGUCUGUAAGUUCAGAGGGUAGCGUUUCGAUGCCUCCUCCCUCAUCCACCUACACACAAACCAAAACAAGAGAUCCAAGAAAUCAACAAACUCUUGAGUUGCUAAAUAUAGAGAAGCAAAAGUUGAAGUUAAUUGAGCAACAAAUGUCAAAAUCAGAAAUGCAAGAUGACAGCUAUCAUUUUGUAGUGAUUUUGCUGCCAGCAAUGUGAAAACUAUCACCAGUAGCUCAGUUGAGAGCCAGGAUAAAAAUCCAGCAGGGUUUUUUGGAAGAAUUGGAACAAUCAACCACUUCCACUGCACAUUCGUUGAUGUCACCCUAUGCCCCUGAAAAUCCAGUUGAAAUUGUAAUUGCUGGAAAUCUGCAAAAUGAUAUAGUCAUUUCUGAAAUUCAACCUGAUGACUUUGUUGUUUUAAGCCACCAAGAUUCUGAAAACUUUGAUACUUAAGUGAGUGAACUGUGAUGAAUUUU